AGCUCCAAUAGCGUAUAUUAAAGUUGUUGCAGUUAAAUAGCUCGUAGUUGAAUUUUGGGCCGGGUUUGACGGUCGCUCCAUUGGAGCGUACUGUCGGCCUGGUCUUUCCUUGUGGGGAACGUAUGUGCACUUUACUGUGUGUGUACGGGAUCCACGACUUUUACUUUGAAAAAAUUAGAGUGUUUAAAGCAGGCAUUUGCUCGAAUACAUUAGCAUGGAAUAAUAGAAUAGGACUUUGGUUCUAUUUUGUUGGUUUCUAGGACCGAAGUAAUGAUUAAUAGGGAUAGUUGGGGGCAUUAGUAUUUAAUUGUCAGAGGUGAAAUUCUUGGAUUUAUGAAAGACUAACUUCUGCGAAAGCAUUUGCCAAGGAUGUUUUCA
rnacentral:rRNA from 1 species